rnacentral:rRNA from 1 species
AGACCCGAAACCCGGUGAUCUAGCCAUGGGCAGGUUGAAGGUUGGGUAACACUAACUGGAGGACCGAACCGACUAAUGUUGAAAAAUUAGCGGAUGACCUGUGGCUGGGGGUGAAAGGCCAAUCAAACCGGGAGAUAGCUGGUUCUCCCCGAAAGCUAUUUAGGUAGCGCCUCGUGAAUUCAUCUCCGGGGGUAGAGCACUGUUUCGGCUAGGGGGCCAUCCCGGCUUACCAACCCGAUGCAAACUGCGAAUACCGGAGAAUGUUAUCACGGGAGACACACGGCGGGUGCUAACGUCCGUCGUGAAGAGGGAAACAACCCAGACCGCCAGCUAAGGUCCCAAAGUCAUGGUUAAGUGGGAAACGAUGUGGGAAGGCCCAGACAGCCAGGAUGUUGGCUUAGAAGCAGCCAUCAUUUAAAGAAAGCGUAAUAGCUCACUGGUCGAGUCGGCCUGCGCGGAAGAUGUAACGGGGCUAAACCAUGCACCGAAGCUGCGGCAGCGAACGUAUCACCCAAGACAACUUUACGGAGUUGACGAUUGACGGAGCGAAGCGACGUCAAAGCGUUCAUUAAAGUCGAGUUGGCUUAGGGAUACGUUCGUUGGGUAGGGGAGCGUUCUGUAAGCCUGUGAAGGU